AACGUAGGAGCCUAGCGUUAUCCGAAUUCACUGGGCGUAAAGCGCGUGCAGGCGGUUCGGUAAGUUGGAUGUGAAAUCUCCUGGCUCAACUGGGAGAGGACGUUCAAGACUGUCGGACUAGAGGACGGUAGAGGAAGGUAGAAUUCCCGGUGUAGUUGUGAAAUGCGUAGAUAUCGGGAGGAAUACCAGUGGCGAAGGCGGCCUUCUGGGCCGUUCCUGACGCUCAGACGCGAAAGCUAGGGGAGCAAACGGG
rnacentral:rRNA from 1 species